rnacentral:rRNA from 1 species
CUUACCAUGCAGUCGAACGAUGAUCUGGAGCUUGCUCUGGUGAUUAGUGGCGAACGGGUGAGUAACACGUGAGUAACCUGCCCUCCACUCUGGGAUAAGCACUGGAAACGGUGUCUAAUACCGGAUACGAGCUUCCGCCGCAUGGUGAGGAGUUGGAAAGAAUUUUGGUGGUGGAUGGACUCGCGGCCUAUCAGGUAGUUGGUGAGGUAAUGGCUCACCAAGCCGACGACGGGUAGCCGGCCUGAGAGGGUGACCGGCCACACUGGGACUGAGACACGGCCCAGACUCCUACGGGAGGCAGCAGUGGGGAAUAUUGCACAAUGGGCGAAAGCCUGAUGCAGCAACGCCGCGUGAGGGACGACGGCCUUCGGGUUGUAAACCUCUUUUAGUAGGGAAGAAGCGAAAGUGACGGUACCUGCAGAAAAAGCACCGGCUAACUACGUGCCAGCAGCCGCGGUAAUACGUAGGGUGCAAGCGUUGUCCGGAAUUAUUGGGCGUAAAGAGCUCGUAGGCGGUUUGUCGCGUCUGCUGUGAAAUCCGGAGGCUCAACCUCCGGCCUGCAGUGGGUACGGGCAGACUAGAGUGCGGUAGGGGAGAUUGGAAUUCCUGGUGUAGCGGUGGAAUGCGCAGAUAUCAGGAGGAACACCAAUGGCGAAGGCAGAUCUCUGGGCCGUAACUGACGCUGAGGAGCGAAAGCAUGGGGAGCGAACAGGAUUAGAUACCCUGGUAGUCCAUGCCGUAAACGUUGGGAACUAGGCGUAGGGUCCAUUCCACGGAUUCUGUGCCGCAGCUAACGCAUUAAGUUCCCCGCCUGGGGAGUACGGCCGCAGGCUAAUAAA